UUUUGUGGCCAAUUUUACAGGAAUACCAACCUAUAUAGACUUUGAAAACUUAUACACAGACUGCAGGUAUAGUGUAUCACAUAUUUGCAUAUCAAACUUCAAGUAGUAUCGAAACCGGAAGAUUGAAGAAGAACUUUACACCAUCCAAACAACACACCUAUAGCAUAGCAUUUGGUGGCCAAUUUUACAGGGAUGCUACUUUCAGCAGGUUAGGUGUGUGUAUAAUAUUUGUUAUAAUAGUGUAUAUCUAUUAGAGUUUAU